GCAGUCCUUCCCUGCUCCAGCAACUACUGUUGCAAUGAUAGAGAAGAUUAGCAUGGCCCCUGCGCAAGGAUGACAUGCACAUUUCCAAAGUGUUCCAUAUUUUU